rnacentral:rRNA from 1 species
UACGUAGGGUCCGAGCGUUGUCCGGAAUUACUGGGCGUAAAGCGUGCGCAGGCGGCUUCUUAGGCAUGACGUGAAAAGCCCCCGGGGCUCAACCCGGGGAGGGUCGUCGUGAACCGGGGGGCUUGAGGCCGGUAGAGGUGGGUGGAACUCCUGGUGGAGUGGUGAAAUGCGUAGAGAUCAGGAAGAACACCCGUGGCGAAGGCGGCCCACUGGGCCGGUAC